rnacentral:rRNA from 1 species
GACGAACGCUGGCGGCGUGCUUAACACAUGCAAGUAGAACGAAAUGGCGAACGGUUGAGUAAUACGUGGGUAACCUGCCCUCCUUUUUGGGAUAAGCCUUGGAAACGGGGUCUAAUACCGAAUAAAGGGGGAUGGUCUCGCGGCCUAUCAGCUUGUUGGUGGGGUGAUGGCCUACCAAGGCGGUGACGGGUAGCCGGCCUGAGAGGUUGACGGGCGACAUUGGGACUGAGAUACGGCCCAGAAUCCUACGGGCGGCAGCAGUGGGGGAUAUUGCACAAUGGGCGCAAGCCUGAUGAAGCAAUGCCGCGUGUAUGAAGAAGGCCUUAGGGUUGUAAAGUACGUUCAGCGGGGAGACGGUACCCGAAGAAGAAGCACCGGCUAACUCCGUGCCAGCAGCCGCGGUAAUUC